rnacentral:rRNA from 1 species
CCUACGGGAGGCAGCAGUGGGGGAUAUUGGACAAUGGGGGAAACCCUGAUCCAGCGACGCCGCGUGAGUGAAGAAGUAUUUCGGUAUGUAAAGCUCUAUCAGUAGGGAAGAAAGAAAUGACGGUAUCUGAGUAAGAAGGCCCGGCUAACUACGUGCCAGCAGCCGCGGUAAUACGUAGGGGGCAAGCGUUAUCCGGAAUUACGGGGGGUAAAGUGAGUGUAGGCGGGAAUGGAAGUCUGGAGUGAAAGUCGGGGGCCCAAACCCCGGACUGCUCUGGAAACUGUGUAACUGGAGUGCAGGAGAGGCAGGCGGAAUGCCUGGUGUAGCGGUGAAAUGCGUAGAUAUUAGGAAGAACACCAGUGGCGAAGGCGGCCUACUGGACUGUAACUGACGUUGAGGCUCGAAAGCGUGGGGAGCGAACAGGAUUAGAUACCCGUGUAGUC